rfam:Oryza sativa Japonica Group DNA, chromosome 12, cultivar: Nipponbare, complete sequence.
AAUGUAUGACACCGUUGAUUUUUUGUCCAACGUUUAACCAUUCGUCUUAUUCAAAAAAUUUAUGUAAAUAUUAUUUAUUUUAUUAUGACUUGAUUCAUCAUAAAAUGUUCUUUAAUCAUGACAUACAUAUUUUCAUAUUUGCACAAAUAAUUUGAAUAAAAUGAAUGGUCAAACGUUGGUCAAAAAGUCAACGGCAUCAUACAUU